GAUGAACGCUAGCGGCAGGCUUAACACAUGCAAGUCGAGGGGUAUAGUUCUUCGGAACUAGAGACCGGCGCACGGGUGCGUAACGCGUAUGCAAUCUACCUUUUACAGGGGAAUAGCCCAGAGAAAUUUGGAUUAAUGCCCCAUAGUAUAGUUUAUUCGCAUGAGUAGAUUAUUAAAGUUCCAACGGUAAAAGAUGAGCAUGCGUCCCAUUAGCUAGAUGGUAAGGUAACGGCUUACCAUGGCGACGAUGGGUAGGGGUCCUGAGAGGGAGAUCCCCCACACGGGUACUGAGACACGGACCAGACUCCUACGGGAGGCAGCAGUGAGGAAUAUUGGUCAAUGGACGCAAGUCUGAACCAGCCAUGCCGCGUGCAGGAUGACGGUCCUAUGGAUUAUAAACUGCUUUUGUACGAGAAGAAACACUGCUACGUGUAGCAGCUUGACGGUAUCGUAAGAAUAAGGAUCGGCUAACUCCGUGCCAGCAGCCGCCGUAA
rnacentral:rRNA from 1 species